rnacentral:rRNA from 1 species
CCUACGGGAGGCAGCAGUGGGGAAUAUUGCGCAAUGGGCGAAAGCCUGACGCAGCGACGCCGCGUGAGGGAUGAAGGUCUUCGGAUCGUAAACCUCUGUCAGCAGGGAAGAACGGUCACUGUGCUAAUCAGCAGUGAAUUGACGGUACCUGCAAAGGAAGCACCGGUUAACUCCGUGCCAGCAGCCGCGGGAAUACGGAGGGUGCGAGCGUUAAUCGGAAGUACUGGGCGUAAAGCGCUCGUAGGCGGCAUGUCAAGUCACGGGUGAAGUCCCCGCGCUCAACGUGGGAACUGCCUUUGAAGCUGGCAAGCGGGAGUGUGGGAGGGGAUAGUGGAAUUCCAGGUGUAGGAGUGAAAUGCGGAGAUAUCUGGAGGAACACCAGUGGCGAAGGCGACUAGCUGGCACAUGACUGACGCUGAGGAGCGAAAGCGUGGGUAGCAAACAGGAUUAGAUACCCGAGUAGUC